UCCCUGGUGGCUCAGAGGGUAAAGCAUCUGCCUGCAAUGCAGGAGACCCAGGUUCAAUUCCUGGGUCGGGAA
rnacentral:tRNA from 1 species